CUCUCAUUCUAAUCCUCUCAUACUCUAUCAUUUCACAUAAUGUAUUGAGUUCCAAGACGCCACAAUUGCUGAUUGGAUCGAAGAAUGUAGGGUUCGUCGUGGAAGAGAAGGGAAGAGUAGUGAUAAAGCUUCUUCUAUUCCACCCCAGAUGCUGGAUUUCUUCAUCGUGAAACCAGCGCGGCUCUGCUCUGCUGGAGAUGGUGUCGGGCCAAGGGUCAAAAUGAUGUGCUGCAGUGCCACUUCUGUUUGAUUCUGGGAGUUAUUUUUGGUGGGUGAGGGGCACUUGAACCUCCGCAACGUGGGCUCAAAAUGAUCUUAUCAGCGUCACGUAGCUCUCUCCCAACGCAUGUUUCUACACAAAAAAGCAACAGUGCGUCGACUCUUCGACAAACCUCUCAAUCCUCACCUGUCAAUCUAGGUCCUAAUUUUCCAGAAUUAGCACCCAUCUAGUAAGAAUCGGUAGACUUGUGCUUUUGUGAUCACUCACUCAGACCAUUACUGGUUCAGAACCUGCAUGUUCCUCAAGUGUUUGCUCUGUUCCGGAAGACGACGGGGCGGAAAUGAUAACUCGUAUAAUUCGGGGAUGCUAUGGAUGUGACGAAGCACCUACUGUGCUCGAUCCCUUGGCUAUUGUGUAGGAGCACUGAAUGCGGUUGUCCAUGCUUAGCAGCUGGCCCAAGUUCCAGCUAAUGGUAGCAGACAUUGUCGACAUAUCCGAGAUUGGACAAGCAUGCAAAACAAUUUUAGUGUCAGGAUUGAAUGAGUCUCCGAUCGGGAUCAUCGACCAGGCAAGGAUUCAAAAAAAGCAAAAAAGGAUGCUUAAGUCUCUCACAGUUCGGCCAUGUCCUCGGCAUGGACAUGAGACAAGUCCUCGUGAACUCCCGAGGCAACACACGAGCAGUGGGUCGAAAUUGCGCAGUUUCUGCAAAGUAUUCUCACUGUGCGGGGUGGUUUCCUCCCUUGAAAAUUCCAUAAUCGAUCCCAGUUUAAUUCACAGGUUUGAACUUCUACAGUCACCACUGUGAUGAAUCAAAAGCAGAAAAUGUUCAUUAAUUAAUUGAUGAACAAGAAAUCUUAGUUUUACAGUCGUUCGAUUUGUGGAUUCUACCUUGUGUGCAAACGAUGUAACCAUCGGCCAUUCCAAAAUUUCAUGCCACGAUCUUGUUGAUGUAGAGACUGAAAGAAGUUUGUGUUCGCUAAAACCAGUAUUCCAUGAGCCUCUACUGUGAUGCCAAUUCUCCUAACCUCACAAACAGAAGAGCACCGCCUGCCACUCUUUCUAGAUGUUGUGACUCAAGCCGCUCUUCAACUUCACCACCGAAGUUCUCUGCACUUGAGGUUUUAAACCGAAGGUCCGGAGCUGCUCUGCUCAACACCAAGCUGCAGCAUGUCUGCAAAUGUAGGCAACAGGACGAUUCAGAUCCUACUCACUUUCAUUGAUCUUUGCAAGAUGUGAUUGUCUUACAUCAGAAAAUUGUUAAGAGCGGGGUUUGGAUGGUUUUUCCCACUUGCAAGGGCAACCAUUGGCUUUGGUUUGAUAGUUUCUCAACAAGAGUAGGACCCAGGCAGGACAGGGAUUCGUCUACCUCUCCAACUCAUCACCCGAUUUAUCAACUGGCUAUCACCAACGCAAUGUUGCUGUUUAUCGAGGGUGCUUGCUAGCGUGACUACUUUAGAAUUAACUUCCAAGUUUUCCAGUACCGACCAUCACUCGAGCAUUGCCAAUCUGACAAAUCAUCAGCGUGGCAGCGUUCCUUACCGCAACUUGCAAGGGGGGAGACGAUUUUGCCGCACCAUAUGUGUUGAUGAUCUAUUGGCUCCGAGAUUAUGCAAAUUGUCGAAAGAUGAAGUUCAUGCAAUCUUCUUGGUUGCAAGUUUUACGUGUUAGAUGUUGUACACAUCAUGUACGCAAAUGAAGCAAUCUGUAGGGUAAUUCGAACGGCCCCUCCACAACCUAUUUUUCAAAACUUGUUGAGUCAGGCCCCCCUGUCCUACAAACUUUUCACCCCAUUCAUCCGUCACUGCAAUUGUGAGCAUGGAGCCCUGCAUGCAAAGAUUGGAGAAAAUGCUUUCCGAAUUUGUGCCAAGGGUUAAAAUUCCACCUCUGUUUUCGACACCACGCAUUGGAUGCAUUUCAACAGCAGGUUUCCUUUGAAUCUUUCCUUGUCGUCCCAUUUUCAAUUCUACGGCGCAGGAAUAAGUAGAAGAAGAGGGUUAGGUGGCACAUUUCUUCCACUUGCAAUUACCACAUCAAAAGUGUGAAAGGUAAGACCCCUCCGUGCUUGUGCAAACCUCGCCUGUCUUCUUCCCUCGCAAAAUGUAAAAAUAAAAUUCAAAAGAAUGUGAAUUAUUCUUUGAGUCUG